rnacentral:rRNA from 1 species
AUACGGAGGGGGCUAGCGUUGUUCGGAAUUACUGGGCGUAAAGAGCACGUAGGCGGUAGAUCAAGUUAGGCGUGAAAGCCCUAGGCUUAACCUAGGAACUGCGCUUAUUACUGGUCAACUAGAGGCCGGGAGAGGGUGGUGGAAUUCCCAGUGUAGAGGUGAAAUUCGUAGAUAUUGGGAAGAACACCAGUGGCGAAGGCGGCUCUCUGGCCCGAAUCUGACGCUGAGGUGCGAAAGCGUGGGGAGCAAACAGGAUUAGAAACCCCAGUAGUCC